rnacentral:misc_RNA from 1 species
CUGAGUACUACACUCUCUACCCUUUGUGAACUAUUAUACCUGUUGCUUCGGCGGCGCCCGCAAGGGUGCCCGCCGGUCUCAUCAGAAUCUCUGUUUUCGAACCCGACGAUACUUCUGAGUGUUCUUAGCGAACUGUCAAAACUUUUAACAACGGAUCUCUUGGCUCCAGCAUCGAUGAAGAACGCAGCGAAACGCGAUAUGUAAUGUGAAUUGCAGAAUUCAGUGAAUCAUCGAAUCUUUGAACGCACAUGGCGCCUUCCAGUAUCCUGGGAGGCAUGCCUGUCCGAGCGUCGUUUCAACCCUCGAGCCCCUGUGGCCCGGCGUUGGGGAUCUGCCACGGCAGGCCCCUAAAACCAGUGGCGGACCCGAAGGCCCUCUCCUUUGCGCAGUAGCAUCAGCCUCGCAUUGGGAUCCCUCGGCGUCCUGCCUUUAAACCCCCCACAAGUCCGCUCCGGCGGCAC